rnacentral:rRNA from 1 species
GACGAACGCUGGCGGCGUGCCUAAUACAUGCAAGUCGAACGCAGUGGGGACGGGUGAGUAACACGUGGGUAACCUCCCAUCAGCGGGGAUAACACUUGGAAACAGGUGCUAAACCGAUACUGUUGGAUGGACCCGCGGUGCAUUAGCUAGUUGGUGAGGUAACGGCUCACUAAGGCCACGAUGCAUAGGCGACCUGAGAGGAUGGCCAGCCACACUGGAACUGAGACACGGUCCAGACUCCUACGGGAGGCAGCAGUGGGGAAUAUUGCACAAUGGGCGCAAGCCUGAUGCAGCCAUGCCGCGUGUAUGAAGAAGGCCUUCGGAUUGUAAAGUUCUUUCAGCGGGGAAGCGUUACCCGCAGAAGAAGCACCGGCUAACUCCGUGCCAGCAGCCGCGGUAAUAC